rnacentral:rRNA from 1 species
ACGGGUGAGUAACGCGUGAGUAACCUGCCUUUCANAGGGGGAUAACGUUCUGAAAAGAACGCUAAUACCGCAUAACAUCAAUUUAUCGCAUGAUAGGUUGAUCAAAGGAGCAAUCCGCUGGAAGAUGGACUCGCGUCCGAUUAGCCAGUUGGCGGGGUAACGGCCCACCAAAGCGACGAUCGGUAGCCGGACUGAGAGGUUGAACGGCCACAUUGGGACUGAGACACGGCCCAGACUCCUACGGGAGGCAGCAUG